CACGUAGGAUCCAAGCGUUAUCCGAAUUUACUGGGCGUAAAGCGCGUGCAGGCGGUUUGGCAAGUUGGAUGUGAAAGCUCCUGGCUCAACUGGGAGAGGCCGUUCAAAACUACCAGACUAGAGGACGGUAGAGGGAGGUGGAAUUCCCGGUGUAGUGGUGAAAUGCGUAGAUAUCGGGAGGAACACCAGUGGCGAAAGCGACCUCCUGGACCGUACCUGACGCUCAGACGCGAAAGCUAGGGGAGCGAACGGGAUUAGAGACCCCGGUAGUCCUAGCUGUAAACGAUGCAGACUUGGCGUCGGUGGGGUAAAAGCCAUCGGUGCCGAAGCUAACGUGAUAAGUCUGCCGCCUGAGGACUACGGCCGCAAGGUUAAAACUCAAAGGAAUUGACGGGGCCCCGCACAAGCAGCGGAGCGUGUGGUUUAAUUCGUUGCUACGCGAAGAACCUUACCCGGGUUUGACAUACAGGUGGUAGGGAGCAGAGAUGUGACCGACCCCUCGGGGAGCCUGUACAGGUGCUGCAUGGCUGUCGUCAGCUCGUGUCGUGAGAUGUCCGGUUAAGUCCGGUAACGAGCGCAACCCUUGCCACGUGUUACAUGUGUCACGUGGGACCGCCGGUAUAAAGCCGGAGGAAGGCGGGGAUGACGUCAAGUCAGCAUGGCCUUUAUAUCCGGGGCUACACACACGCUACAAUGGCCGGUACAAUGGGUUGCAAAGCCGCGAGGCGGAGCCAAUCCCCAAAGCCGGUCUCAGUUCAGAUUGCAGGCUGCAACUCGCCUGCAUGAAGUCGGAGUUGCUAGUAACCGCGCGUCAGCAUUAGUGCGGUGAAUACGUUCCCGGGGCU
rnacentral:rRNA from 1 species